GAAGAUUUACAUGAAUAUUACAUAAGUUUAUGUAAUUAGAGAAAGAUUUAAGUCCACCAGUGCGAAGCAGGGGCGAUUGACGGUGGACUUAUAAAAAGAAUAAGUCCAUGCUCGACACAAUAAAAUGGUUGAACAAGUCCACGUACAUUAACCACGGAUUUCUCCACAAAUGUAGACUCUGUACAUUCAUUUUGGCUUAAACUUUAUGAAACAACGUGGAGUAAAAUGCGCCAAUGAAAGUGUGGGAACGAGGGACCUUUAAUUCUACCCCACGAGUCUUUUACACUUUUCAAGCAAUAAAGAGUCAAGUCUUGUGCGUUAACUGCAAAUUAACAUUACUGCCCGCCGGCGAUUCAAAGGGAUAAGAGAAGAUUUCACUAUUUGUACUCUUAAGUGCACCUUGGUGGAUUGGUGUUGGGGCCAAUAUUGGCACUGGCUGUUUGCAAAGUGAAGCUUGAAGAGGGCUUGGACUGCAAAAAUUAUGUUGCACAAUUUUAAAUCGGUAUGUAAU